UCAGACGAUGCGUCAUGCAUAUCAAUAAGCGGAGGAAAAGAAACUAACAAGGAUUCCCUUAGUAACGGCGAGUGAAGCGGGAAGAGCUCAAAUUUGAAAUCUUCAAGGUUUUACCUUGACGAAUUGUAGUUUAAAGAAGUGUUUUCUGCUGAAGUUUUGGUAAAAGUUCUUUGGAAUAGGACAUCAUAGAGGGUGAGAAUCCCGUAUUUGACCAUUAUUUUCAGCUGUGUGAUACACUUUCAAAGAGUCGGAUUGUUUGGGAAUGCAGUCCAAAAUGGGUGGUAAAUUUCAUCUAAAGCUAAAUAUUGGCGAGAGACCGAUAGCGAACAAGUACCGUGAGGGAAAGAUGAAAAGAACUUUGAAAAGAGAGUUAAACAGUACGUGAAAUUGUCAAAAGGGAAGCGUUUGACACCAGUGUUGUUUUCUCGAAAAUCAAUUAAAAAUGGCUCGAUUUUGUAUUGCUGAGACCUUAAAAGCUCACUGUACAUUUUUCGUGUCUUUUUUAAUGCACUUUUCGUUUAACAAGUCAACAUCAGUUUCUUUUGUUGUAAAAAGGUCAUUGGAAGGUGGCUUUCUUUUCGGAGAAAGUGUUUAUAGCCUUUGACUCCUGCAAUCGGAGAGACUGAGGUCUGCAGCGUAGAUCCUUCGGGGUUAGAUACAUUUGUGCUAAGUUAUAGCUUUUUAUAGACAACUUGUUGACUAUGAUUAGUCUUGUAGCUUACUCGCUUAUGCUAUUUUACCUACGCUUAGGAUGUUGAGUCGUAGAGCACGCAG
rnacentral:rRNA from 1 species